rnacentral:misc_RNA from 1 species
GAUGAAGAACGCAGCGAAAUGCGAUAAGUAAUGUGAAUUGCAGAAUUCAGUGAAUCAUCGAAUCUUUGAACGCACAUUGCGCCCGCCAGUAUUCUGGCGGGCAUGCCUGUCCGAGCGUCAUUUCAACCCUCGAACCCCUCCGGGGGGUCGGCGUUGGGGAUCGGCCCUCCCUUAGCGGGUGGCCGUCUCCGAAAUACAGUGGCGGUCUCGCCGCAGCCUCUCCUGCGCAGUAGUUUGCACACUCGCACCGGGAGCGCGGCGCGUCCACAGCCGUUAAACACCCAACUUCUGAAAUGUUGACCUCGGAUCAGGUAGGAAUACCCGCUGAACUUAAGCAUAUCAAUAAGCGGAGGA